rnacentral:lncRNA from 10 species
CUCAUGCUGGGAGCUGCAGACCGGAGCUGUUCCUAUUCGGCCAUCUUGGUUCCUCCCUCCAAGUUGUUUCUCAGAGCUUUCUUCUGCCUGUCAACAAUAUAGGGAACAUUUAUGCUCCUUUUGGACUCAGUUUCUGAAAAUGGAAUUCCUCACAGUGACUCAGCAUGAUGCUUCUUCAGUACGGCUAUUAAACACCUCAUCCUGCAGACUCCAAUAUGUCAGCUUUUAGAAUGCAUUUCCCAUAAAUGUACAUACUACAG